AUUCCUAUAGGAUCCUAUAGGAAUUCCUAUAGGAUCUUCCUAUAGGAUCCUAUAGGGAUUACUAUAGGAUCCUAUAGGAAUU